GACCAAAGGCAAUGAGGAUACAGACAGGGAUUGAGCCAAGGCGAUGCGAGGCGCGCGAUUCAAUCUACCGGAGUUGCAGGUGCGCGAUGGGAUCGGCCGGGGGCACCCACUACCACUCAUAUCCUCGUCGGCUUCUCCCUUCCCUCAGGCCUUCCAUGCCCUCAUCCGCCCAUCCACCCCCGGCGGCUCCAGGAGGAGCACCACAACCGCAGGCAUCGGCGGCGGCACGCCAUCCACACCGCGCUCGCGCUCCACCGGCGGCCCCUUCAGUCCCGAGCCCAACUUGCCGCCGUCGGCUGCGGCGGCCAGGCCGCGCCUCUCCUUCCACCUAGGCUGCUUCCACCGGUCCCGAGAUCCGCCGACAUCAACCCGUCGUCCAGCACCGGGUGCCUAAGAUCGGCACGCCUCCUACCGAUGUGAGUUUCACUUGGAAUUAUUUUUUUCAGCUGUAGGAUGAAAGUGAAAUACGUUUGCCGAAAUACAUCUCUACUUUCUUCGUGAUCUGGCAGUGUUCAGCGAUUUUUGAAUUCAGUAAAAUAGCAUUUUUUUUCAACAAGAGAUGGAUAAAUAGGUCGAUAUAUACUCGCAGGCAGUACAGUUCUGGGAAUACUACUGCUAAUGAAUGUUUAAUCUCUUCUCCACAAACUUGCUUCAUAGGUCUUAUUUCUUUUUUCAGAAUCUUCACAAUUCUGUUUGGUCUAAUGUAUACUUGCAGGUUUAUCUCGAUGAAAAGGCUCUUUCAAUAUUACGCAGAUGCUUCAACUUUUUUUAAUCUAUAGUGGAUAUCGUCUAAUACUACUUUCCCAUUAACUGGUAUUUUCAUAUGGCUGAAAGAAUCAACUGCUAGAGAUUUCAGAAAUUGUUCAACUGCGUAGUUUUUGGUUAUGUCUUUUUCGAUCAGCGACCCGGACCAGUGCCAUGGCAACGAGUGUGUCCCCCUACCACGACCUUCAACUUGAGUGGCAGAUCCCACCAUGACUUGGCAGUGCCGCUGGUGGAACCGGCGUCCGUAGGCGAGCAAUCAUCCAGAUGGCCGUCACGCUUCCGCCCAACAGAGAUGGAGAAAGGAGCUGAUUGCAGGGCACUAAAAUAUAUCUUGGCUGCCAAAGCUCCGUGAUCACUUACAAAUAUAUAUUAUCCAUGUAGGCUGGGUUAUCUGGGAUCAAUUACAACAAGGCACUUGGAUAUUGUUUAUAAAGUCUAUGACGGAGGCAUUGGAAACCAAGUGAAGAGCAAGGUUACUGUCAAGGAAUUCAAGAGGGAGAGAAGAGCCAUGGAGGAGCUACUUCGGCUCACCCUGCCUGCUAGUACAGGACACCAUGUAAGG